rnacentral:tRNA from 1 species
UAUAUGCUGGCAGAAUGAUGUAUCUGAUUUAGGUUCAGAAGAGGGGCGAUUAGGCCCGCAUAUAA